CCAGCCGCGGCGCAUUCGUAAACAAACCCUGGUUCAGUUCGGACGCUGCGAACACCCGAAGACCCCCUUCACCCUCCACCAUCAGUGUAACACACUUCGGCUUCUUACUUCGUCGAGACCGCCGGCACGGGAAAAUGUAGGCGAGCGGGCACCACGGUGCGGAGCGCGACAGUUUACCUGCGCCCUACGGGGUCGGUGCUUGAACAAUCCGUACGCGACGAUAACAGCCGUGAUUAGAAUUUGUGAAAUUCCUUCACGCUUCGAACAAAUAUGAGAAGAGAACUGCGAUAAUAGUUUAGAGCAGAGCUCGUAGUGUUUGAUCCAAAACCGUCGGCACCAUCUGCCUCCUCUAGUACUGCACACUGAGGCGCAGCAUUGGGAACGUCGGAAUCGAAAAGCAAAAGCCAAAUAUGUAACGUAAGCCGCAUCAGCUAUAACAAAGACGAGAGAGGGGAGAGGGAGCGAAAGAGCGAGAGAAGGGAGCGAUAGAGGGAGAGAGAGAAAGGGCUCCGUUCGUUCGCGGUUGAAUCCGCGAAUGAGGGAGCUAGGCGGAUGUUAACGCGGAUUGUCUCCGCUCGGUCGAGCGUACCUUUUUGGGCGCCGUGAUAGUUAGCACACCAUCCGAGGAGAGGGUCGAGGUGAUGUUGACGAGGUCGUGAGACGGAGGUAGGACGUAUCUGCGUACGAAGUGUCUGCUGAUGUAGCCGUGCUCGUCCUGCUUCUCCUCGUGCUUGGCCUCGACAACGACGUGAUUGUCGACCGUCUUCACCGAGAUUUCGUCCGGUGAGAAUUGUUGCACGUCCAGUAUCACCUGCGGAUCAGAGAGCGCAGCCCCGCGGGAAGGGGGCUUUUGUCACUUAGCUUCGCUCAGGAUCCCCUCUCGUCCGUCACCGAGGAAUAGAAGUCUCUCGCAUUUCUUCCGUGAGCGAUCGUAAAACAGCCGCCAUGCAUCCGUAAUGCGAAAGUUAAGUAUCAAUAUCACUCCCGAAUGAGCUUACUCCGAAAAAUGAUGGUCGAUUUUUGAGAGCAAUAAGACCCACCACUCUUUUCUUACACCGCGCGAAUUAGUGUUUCUUUAAUUUUGAUGUUACGUUCUUGCUUGAUUGAAUUUUCGUCUGGAAGAGGAUCUCGAACGCCGCUGUGCAUAUUCUAGCGCACAUUCUAAAUCCUAAAACAUCGUACGCGUUAGGCGAGCUAUUUCACGCACAAUAAUUCCGGCUUACCAUCUGAAACAGCGCUUCGUCAGAUAAAUCUCACAUUCGUCCUUUUCACACCCUCCGCGUUCAAGGAAUCGCCGAUCAGGCCCGGUUGUUGGAGUUUCUCCGCGACGAGCGAGGAAAAUGACAAUUCAGCUAACGUUCUAGAUCCUAUCCCGACCGUCAGAUAAGAGCAUCGUAAAAAAUAAUAUUUUCUUCUCGUCUCGAUUCACUCAUAUGUAACCCGCGUUUAUUUAGAUUAUUGCACGUUAUGGUACAAAAGCAAACUGGGAAGAUGUAGUUGUCGGCGCACCUACUUGUGUGAAAUUGUUCCUUUUUUUUUUUACGAUCAAAAAAACGAGCACACAUACAAGUAGGUGAUUUGCGGUCCUUUGCGACCGCCGGGGCGGCUCGCUUCGGCGAGAGAGGAAAUAAAAUUCCUUCAUCAAUAAAAACAAAACAAAACCAAAAAAAAAACAACAAAAAAACAGAAGAGAGAGGUAAACAACAUUUUGACGAGAGGAAGCUUUAACAACGUAUAAGUAUAGUGAGGCAAGCGUGCCCGAGUUUCUCCGGGUGAUCCUGCGUGAUCCUGGAGCUCGGCGGCGAACGCGAGCGCGAAGAGAUUAGCGGAGGAUAACUGGCUGUGUAUUUUUGAAAAUAGUACUAAAAGAAAAGAAAAAGUAGGAGGGAGGAGGAAGAAAAGGUUUGCUGAGCGACCGCUCCGCGGACGGUCGGCUCGAGUGUUGCGCGCAGACAUAUUUUGUACAAAUAAAAGAGAUAGAGAGAAACGCGAGUUCCGUGUAAGAAGGAGAGAAAAAAAAGCACAAAAGUCAUUUUGUAAGAUUCUAUUGUUGUGGGUAUUCAAAAAGCAUUUAUUUUUGUAUAGAGAUUAUAAAAACAGGGCGGGGGAUCGGGCCCCGUGGGUCCCAUUCGCGUGAGCGGCGCACCCUUUGAAGGGGUGCGUCAGCGCUCGUGGGGGACGGCACGAGCCUCGGUUCUUCCAUUCGAACAAGACUGACUAAGCGCGAGACGCGAUACAUCUACUCUUUCGGUUGCAUAUUUUAUUCCGUGGCUGCUGCGCGCGAUUUCUCGCGCGCGAACCCUCAACGAAAAAUCAUAAGACGUUAAUAACGAACGGCAUAGUAGUCACCUCGGACCCUGCGGCAGGCAAACCGUGCGCGCGAUUGCGCGAGGAAAAAAUAUCGCGGAAAGAGAAGGAAAAGUAGAAGUAACAAAGAAGAAAUAUACAUACAUACAUACAUACACAUAUUAUAUAUAUAUACACACACACAAUACGAUUAAAGAAGGGGGAGGUAAAAUGAGAACUGUGGUAAAACUGUGAUUUUAUAGAGAUUCCGAAACCGGCGUGACUAACCGGAGAUCGUGCAGCGCGAUCGUCCUUUUUUUGAUACGCGUACCUUUCGUAGAACAUUUUCGGGCAAAACGAGAAGGAUAAUUGGUCCCUUUAGACUGAAAUCUGCUAACAUCGUGACUAUUACUAUACAUUGCACAACUGGAUUAUGUCCAAAUAGGGCGAUUAGAUGAACUAUCAUACCGUAGGAGAAGCUAAAUUCUUUUCGGCACAAACGAAAUCAUUGUAAAAGGGGACAGAUAAACGCCGUGGAUGUUUUCUUGACGAGCAUUAGAUUAUUCGAACCUUUGCGGGGAAGAGGAAAAAAAGAAAAAGAAGUAAUAAAGAGAAAUAACUAAUAAAAGAGAGCAAAACAGAAGGAAAAGUCGUCUCUCCAAUCCGAUUUACUCGCCCUCCCUCGUCCAGAGGGAGGUGCAAAAAACGCCCCCUAUCCCUCCCAAAAAAUAGUCCUAAUCGAAUACUCGUUUCACCAUCCCUAUCCGUCGAAAAAUCGAGUUGCCGCCCUCCCGGUUGAUUCGCGAUCGCGCGAUUAUGAAAGCGUAAUUAUGACGCGUUAUGAUGCACAAUGUAUGCAUGGCACAACGAUAGAGACAGCGGCAACCGCAGCAGAUGCAGUCAUCAGUUUUUCGGGCCUUCUGGUGUUCCGGAACUUUUUCGUUCGUUGCUUUUAACCAUUCUUACCGAGCGUUGAGUUUCACCCGUCCCUUACGUUUAGUUUCAUCCCCUGCCGCGGUUUCUUUUUCUUUUUAACGGCUGAUUCGUUCCCUUCGAAAGUAACGUUCGAGUAGAUAGAGUCUCUAUUUCGAUUUUUCCGUUAACACCUUUUUUCUCCCCUCGUUCUUCCUUUCCCUUCCCUCCCCUCUCCUCCUCCCAUUCCCUCCCCUCCCCUACUCCAUCCCUUUUAAUUUUCUUUCUUACGAAUGCGCCCUUUUGUCCUUUCCUGUUACGCCACUUCCGUCAUCUUUCAUCAUUUGUCUCCUGCGACUUUUCUAUAUUUCGAAAUCUAAUUACGAUUCGCUGUUCGUUUUUUUGCUAGAAGAUAACGUAAACGAAAGUAUCUUCCCCUAUAACUACACUUAUUAAAUAUUGUACUUUUUUUUCGUAGGAUAUCACUUGAGGCUCUUUGUAUUCGACACAAAAUUUGUUUUGCGUCCGAUGCAAAUCGCGCUCGAGUUACCGAUACCAAAAUAAGGAGUUAAGAACCGCUAAAGAGUUUAAGUCGUGUCUUAGCCUAAGUUGUUAGCACACUCACAAUUGAGCACAUUCCGUUCGUUGUUGCAUCACCGAACUUUCUCGAGGAAAUAAAUGUAAUUGUAGCACAGAGUGAUCUCGAAUUCAUGAAUUUAGAACUGUCAGGUGAAUCAAUGUUGCACGCACGACAAAGUGCGAAUGUAAUUUGAUGAGCCGAAGACCGUGCAAAAUUCGUGAGUUUCGGAGCUUUUAGGCAAGUUACAUAUUCGACGUAAACAACCAAUAAUACAGCACGAAAAAGAUCGUUACUUCAGACCGUGACUAAGUUAUCGCACACAGCGAACGUGAUUAUAUUUUAUUUGUUGUUGCAUUACCGAACUUCCAGAAAAAUAAGAUAAAUAACGAUUACAGCAUAACCCUACUUACCGAUGUGAAUAAAAUUUAUGCUAAAAAAUAUAAAAAAACUGCUUGUGCUGAUAAUUUAUUUUUAAUAUACUGAUUACGUAAUAUUUUAGUUCGGGGGUAAAUAUGGAUGGUAAUAAUGAUUCAGGCAAAAGAAAAUUUGAUAACACUGCUCUAGGAGGAGGGAGGAUUGAUCUGAAAAAAAUAAAUCCAAGGAAAUUAGAUGAUUUUACAGACAUGAUUAAGAGACGUGAGGAGGAAGAAAAGAAAAAUCAAUCAGGACAGCAGUGAUCAGGACAGCAGUUAGGGUUGGGUUUAGGAUUGGGUUUGGGGUCAUUAACGAUAAUUUUAUGUUAAUUAAUGAGGGAGGUGGCGUUAUGCAUAAUAAAAGUGAAAUAAAUCGAGAAUUAGUAAAAGCGUUUAAUUAAGAAGAUAGUGGCAUUUCUUCGGCAUUCGCUUUUGCGAAUUUAUUUUAGGCGUGUCGCGACACACGCUGUAUCACGGCGAAUAAACACGUAUCUAUAGCUUGCGUAUGUAAAAUUAAACUUAUUGGGCGACUGAUGUAUAUUAAUCGAUAUUACUGUCGAGUUACUAAGUUACGCUAGAUCCGAGGCGCGAUAGCUGAACGAUCUUGAGGAUCGGGAAGUAGCAAACCUCGCGGACGUUUUAUCCAGUGUGAAAUUAAACGAAAGGUCAAAUAUCCAACGACGUCUUAUAAUCAAAAGGAUAAUAUCGCCCUUUAUCUGCACUCGAACCUCUCGGAAAGAGAGAGAAUGAGAGAGAGGCAAAGAAAGGGAGAGAAACAUUUUGUAUAAAUUGAUCAGACGAUUUAAAUUGAUUCGCGAUACUCUCGGACGCGACAGCAAGGCAUACUAUACUGAUUCCUGGAUUCUCGACUUGUCUACUAUAUGUUUUAGGAUAACUGCAAGCGUAAGAUAAUCGAUAUACCCCGCAGCGCGUGUUAAUCCUAAGCAUUAAUCGCGUGCAUAUCAGCCCGAAUUGCGAGCCUUACAUGGAUUUUUCUGACCAACACACUCGUAAAGCCGUAUAAUUCUUUGAUCCGCUCCGUGCUCGGAAACGCAACGGCUAUUGGUUCGUAAUUUUUCCGUAAUCUGAGGAAGCUAGGUAUGUCCAGCCAGCUGUGGACAGUUCCGCGGCGUUACAACGACUAAAAAUACGCGAAAAACCCGUCUAAAAAUAAACACGUUUGCAUCACACUCGCAUUCGGGGCAUUCCGUGGUAAUUUUAACGCGCGUUGCUUCUUGUUUACGCUUUCUUGCCGCACCACAAAGUCAUAUCCAACGACAAACGCACAUUUAACAGGAAAAAUAUUACGAAUAAUUUUACGUGUCAUUUUACGCGAUUUUGAGAUUACGCGACAGAAGGAAGCUUCUUCCGGAAACUAAGAGCACACGUGUAAAAGCGGCUUGCAAAAAUUAUAAGCAAUUUAGUAUAACGAUAUUCUUCUGAGGCGAAAUUAGCGGUGAGAUUUUGAAUUGCAGAUCAAUCGAAAAGUGAUAACAGUCUUAUUGUCCAUUUGCAUUAUCGGUUAUUAUUAUUCUUGAGUUAUUAUUAUCGAUUAUUACGUAAGAGCGAGAUUGAAUAUUCCCUGAACUUCUAUUAGUUCUGAAUAAUUUUCGGCCAAUUCCCAUCUUUCGCAGGAUCCUGGCUCUAUGAUCUUCGUCAGGAUCCUGCGAAAGACGGAAUUGGACCGUUACACAGCAGUACUUCCGCCCUAUAAUAUAUCUUAAGUAAGCUUUUAACACUUUCCUGACAAAAACUCAAUAACUCUACGAUGGAAAAUUUGAUCAAAAUCAACCAACGUCUCACGAAUUAAAUACACGAUACGUGAAUAUAAUUUGCAAGAUAAAAUUGAUUUCGACAAAAAGAUACGUUACUUCGGCUUUGAUAAGUCCGCCUGAUCGCAAGACCUGCGCGUUACUAGGCUAAAUUAAUGCGUAAUGCAUAAUUGAAUAUAUACAUGGACAUACUAGGAUAUAGGUAUUAAGACGACCAAAAAUAAUAAGAGGAGUUACUGGGCCUAAGCAAAAUUAUCCUUGUAAUGUAAGGUUUAUAAUUUAAGGCCGUCUUUCGUGUUUCGCCACGAACAGAUGAAACGACAAAUCGAAUGCUAAAUGAACAGAAAAAGUAGCAAAGACCAUUUUCACAGUGGAAUGUCACGUAACAUGGACGAGCACGAUCGCGAAAAAGGACGUAUUUUCUAGCUUGACAGAUUCCGUACAUAUUCUAUCGCUCUACCAAUCGAUGCAAUAAAUCGAAUAAACUUCUAAUAUUACUUCUCUAACGAACGGGAAACAAAUAACAAGCAGACAUACACUCAAAACCCUGGCAAAUAUUAAAAGAAACAAAAAUAGUUUGGCAAUAAUUUUUUGAGUAAACCUUUUGAGUAACUGCAUAUUAAAAAUAGAAAAAAAA